rnacentral:rRNA from 1 species
UUGCAKGGCGGCGUGCUUACACAUGCAGUCGAGCGGAAGGCCCUUCGGGGUACUCGAGCGGCGAACGGGUGAGUAACACGUGAGUAACCUGCCCCUGACUCUGGGAUAAGCCCGGGAAACUGGGUCUAAUACCGGAUACGACCGCCCCAGGCAUCUGGUGGUGGUGGAAAGUUUUUUCGGUUGGGGAUGGACUCGCGGCCUAUCAGCUUGUUGGUGGGGUAAUGGCCUACCAAGGCGACGACGGGUAGCCGGCCUGAGAGGGCGACCGGCCACACUGGGACUGAGACACGGCCCAGACUCCUACGGGAGGCAGCAGUGGGGAAUAUUGCGCAAUGGGCGAAAGCCUGACGCAGCGACGCCGCGUGGGGGAUGACGGCCUUCGGGUUGUAAACCUCUUUCAGCAGGGACGAAGUUGACGUGUACCUGCAGAAGAAGCGCCGGCUAACUACGUGCCAGCAGCCGCGGUAAUACGUAGGGCGCAAGCGUUGUCCGGAAUUAUUGGGCGUAAAGAGCUCGUAGGUGGCUGGUCGCGUCUGCCGUGAAAGCCCGCAGCUUAACUGCGGGUCUGCGGUGGAUACGGGCCGGCUAGAGGUAGGUAGGGGCAAGUGGAAUUCCUGGUGUAGCGGUGAAAUGCGCAGAUAUCAGGAGGAACACCGGUGGCGAAGGCGGCUUGCUGGGCCUUACCUGACGCUGAGGAGCGAAAGCGUGGGGAGCGAACAGGAUUAGAUACCCUGGUAGUCCACGCUGUAAACGUUGGGCGCUAGGUGUGGGGAUCUUCCACGAUCUCCGUGCCGGAGCUAACGCAUUAAGCGCCCCGCCUGGGGAGUACGGCCGCAAGGCUAAAACUCAAAGGAAUUGACGGGGGCCCGCACAAGCGGCGGAGCAUGUUGCUUAAUUCGACGCAACGCGAAGAACCUUACCAAGGUUUGACAUCACCCGGAAACGUGCAGAGAUGUGCGCCUCUUCGGACUGGGUGACAGGUGGUGCAUGGCUGUCGUCAGCUCGUGUCGUGAGAUGUUGGGUUAAGUCCCGCAACGAGCGCAACCCUUGUUCCAUGUUGCCAGCAACCUCUUCGGAGGGUUGGGGACUCAUGGGAGACUGCCGGGGUCAACUCGGAGGAAGGUGGGGAUGACGUCAAGUCAUCAUGCCCCUUAUGUCUUGGGCUGCAAACAUGCUACAAUGGCCGGUACAGAGGGCUGCUAAGCCGUAAGGUGGAGCGAAUCCCUAAAAGCCGGUCUCAGUUCGGAUUGGGGUCUGCAACUCGACCCCAUGAAGUCGGAGUCGCUAGUAAUCGCAGAUCAGCAACGCUGCGGUGAAUACGUUCCCGGGCCUUGUACACACCGCCCGUCACGUCACGAAAGUCGGCAACACCCGAAGCCCGUGGCCCAACCAGCUUGCUGGGGGGAGCGGUCGAAGGUGGGGCUGGCGAUUGGGACGAAGUCGUAACAAGUAGCACCGAACGC